ACUAAACUUGAUUACCUCUGUCAUGAGAGUGGAUUGGUAAGCCCUUAAGAUCAUUGUCUAAGGAUUAGCUCUUUGUUGAUUGAGUUUUGUUAAGCAACCUAGAUAGAUUAAGUUUAAUACCAACCAAUAAUUCUCAUCCUUAGGAUCUAUUUGCUACUUGUUUGCUUCUGUUUCUAGCAUUUAAUUACUUGUCUUUUCUGCUUUAUAGUUUCUGCACUUUAGUUUUGCAUUUAAUCUUGUGUUCUGCAUCACUCGACCAUGCACUCGACCUUGGUUCAUACCAUGCUCGCUCGAGUGCUAGGUCGAGCUCCAGUUUAAUUUCUUGUUUGUGCAUUGUUCUGUUCUUUUCUAGUUUGCUCUUGUUUAUUUCCUGUUUAAUUUAGUUUUCAUCCUGUUUAUUUACUGCUUUUUGUUACUCUUGCUUCUUUAUAUUCUGCAUUGAUUUCAUUUAUUUAUCUUGCAUUUAGUUUCUGUUUAAGUACUUUACAUUUUUCAUUUUACAUUUCUGUUUCAUUAUGUUGAUAGAAUACCACCCCAUUUCUGAAUUGGCUUAACUUGUACUAUCUUGAUUGCAUCUUUUGUGAUUAGCAUAAUCCCAUUUGGAUUGACACCUUAAGUACUACAAUGCAUAAGGGUAAUUGUGACUGCUAGGAUUAGGAGAGACACAAAAAUCCUAGUAUCAGAUUUGAUCCAACCUUUGAAUAACAAAAAUUACUUCCGCUUCGAAGAUCUCGAUGAUAUAAAUCGUGGCAAGAGUAACUCAUCCCAUCACUUUGGAUGUUUGUGGGUGCAUCGUUCAUGUGGACGUCAUAAGAAGACGUGAAGAUGGCAGCUGUGGUGAACUUGUCUUCACUCUACUGAAUGGCAGGAAUGAAAAAAUCAAAUGUCGUCUCAUAGACUUCUAUGCCUCUCGAUUUAUCACUCUUUGGGAAUCAAACGGGUAUCCUGAUCUCGUCAAAUCUGAACCAGUGUUUUGUGUCUUCCGGUUCUGUAAGGUUGGGAGAUAUGAAGGUGUACCAUGUCUUGUACACACCGUGGCCUCUUCUAGAAUAUUCAUAAAAGCAGAUUUCGAUGGACUUGAACAUCACCAACAUCUCACGGUAUCACAUUAACCAUGUGAUGCGACACGAUGGGUAGAGGGUUGUGACACAAGAUGAAACAAUGUCUCAUGAAGGAGAGAUAACAAAUGUGGUUUUCUAUUCCAUAUAUUGUAUUUUUUGAAUGGUCUGAAAGCUUGUACUAAGUCUGAACAAAAUUUGGUACCUGAUUGCUGUAAUUAAUCAGAAGGACAAACGAUGAUAAGUCUUGAUUUGUUAGGUCUACGUACACAAGGUUACAUAACCGUAUAUUCAAUCAAGCGUAAA